AAAAAAAAAAAAAAAAAAAGGCAGUUCGUGAACUAAUCCAUUAACAUCAAAGAGCUGAACUCCUUAACGUCAAAGCAGGGGUAAUUCAAGUAUUGUCCUUUGCCUUAACAGUAAUCAGAUUCUUUUUCUUAUUCCUUAUAAUCACACCCCAACAAGGAUCAACAUAUCAUAUUUCUUCAUGCCUACCAAAGUUGCAAAUGCCAGCAAUAUGAAAUAUAUAGUUCUUGGUUGGAUGCCAGUAAGACUGCUAAUUAGACUUCAAACCACUUUCAAUCUGUAUUCUUGAAACCACAACUUAAUUUGGAUGGAAAGCAACACAGUUGUUAAAGGCAAGCCUCAAGUGCAAGGCACUAGGGGCCUAAUCUCUAGCGCGUCAAUCCUUGAAGGGUGUUGAUGUUCAAGAGAUGCAUGCCUUGCGCCUUGCUCCUUGCUAAAAUUAUCUUUCCAAAAAUUUCACAAAAAUUUCAACAGAAUUUUCUCAAUAUUUUUGUAGAGAUUGACUUAUUAUACACAUAUCUAUAUAUAAACAUACUCACAAAGUUAUACAUGUUUAAGGAAUGUAUACAAGAUUAUAGCUUAUUGAAAUAAAAGAGGCUAAAAUUAUGCUUUUCAAUAUCAUAUUGAAAUUCCUUUAGUUUUGGAAUGAGAUUGAUUUAUUCCUAUAAUCUUGUUAUGAGAUGACUUUUUAUUUCAAGUUUCCAAUGAUCUAUUUAUUAUGAGUAUAUAUUUCUAUUUGUAAAUUUAUUAUGAUAUAGUCGUCAUGAGUUGACUUUUCUUUUUUCCAAUUUUCUUUGGUUACAUUCUUCUUUUUCCAAAUUUAAUUCAACUUUGUCACCCUUGUCCAAUUUCUUUUUCUUUCUUCUUUUUGUAUAUUCCUCUUUGUUUCUAUCUCUUGCCCAGGGGCUUUUUUUUUCCCUUCUUUUAAGAUGUUUUUAUGGCUUUUUGCUUAAUUGUUAUGGAAGAAAAUGCUGCCCAUUAAUCUACCUUGUAUGAAUUGAUAUUAUACUAUUUAUUUGACCAUAAGAAAUUUGCAAAUAAGGAAACAAAAGACGUAAGAUUAACAUAAAAUCUUUUUUUUUUUUGUUAUUUAAGAAAACCAACUUAUUCUCAACUCAACUCAACUCAAC
rnacentral:misc_RNA from 1 species